AAUAACUGUACAAAGGUGGCUUAAUAAUUAGUUUUUUAAUUGAAAACUAGAAUGAAUGAUUUAAUGAAAUAUAAACUGUCUCAAAUUUAUUAAAUAAAUUUUUUCUUUAAAUUAAAAAAUUUAGGUAAUUUGAAAAGACGAUAAGACCCUAAAGAAUUUUUAUAAUUUAUUUUUUUUUACUAAUAAAAAUUAAAUUAUUUUAAUUGGGGAAAUUUUAAAAUUUAAAAAAUUUUUAAUUAAAUUAACAAAUAUUUUUGAUUAAAUAAUAUUUUUUAAAAAAAAAAAUUAAAUUACCUUAGGGAUAACAGCAUAAUUUUUUUUUUAAGUCCAAAUUUUUAAAAAAGUUUAU
rnacentral:rRNA from 1 species